rnacentral:rRNA from 1 species
CAGCCGCCGCGGGAAUACGUAGGUGGCAAGCGUUGUCCGGAAUUAUUGGGCGUAAAGCGCGCGCAGGUGGUCUGUUAGGUCGGGAGUUAAAUCCGGAGGCUCAACCUCCGUUCGCUCCCGAUACCGGCAGACUUGAGUUUGGUAGGGGAAGGUGGAAUUCCUAGUGUAGCGGUGGAAUGCGCAGAUAUUAGGAAGAACACCAGUGGCGAAGGCGGCCUUCUGGGCCAUAACUGACGCUGUGGAGCGAAAGCUAGGGGAGCGAACAGGAUUAGAUACCCCCGUAGUCCCUGUCUCUUAUACC